AAUCUUUACCCAUAUGAAAGGGCGAAGAAACCACCCGUGUAACCGAUGCGCCACGUCGUUGGCGGUUUUUCCUCGGCUCAACCCUGGCGCGUUGGCGGGUUUUCGGGGGGCGCAUCGCUCCAUCUCUCUAGAAUCUCCAACGCUCUGUUCCCCUUCUCCCGAUUUUUCUAGGGUUUCCUCGCAGCGAUCCGGGACGCUGCUUCCGAUUGAGCGCGAGGUGGCCGCGUUUGGCAUGCGUUGGCGCUGUGGAUUUCUGGUUUCCGGUGGUCGGCUUCCUUCCCCGAACAAAAUCAAUUCACCGUCUAAAAAAAUCCCCAAUCCUCUCUCUCUCUCUCUCUGGAAGGCCACGGCGGACGAUAGGGUUCGUGCCGCCUCCCGCCGCCCCCCGGCACUAUUCUGCCUCCCGCCUCCCCCGGCCAACAACCCGAAGAAGGUUGCCGUCCAAGCAUCCACCCGAGCCGACGGACGGGACGAGGACUUGAGCGCGAAGAGCUCUCGGGACACCAUCGACCAGGCGGAUCUCCGGCUGCCUCCCACCUCCGACCAGGCGGAUCUACCCCUGGCAAUCUCCAUCUCGAGCGAUGUAUUUUCCUCCUAAUUGUCCACUGCACAUAUGGUCGAACCUUUUUUAUUGAAGUCUGUUUGUACAUGGAAUUUUGAUUAGGCAUAAUUUUAGUUCUGAUUCUGAUUACAUGAAUGUCAGACGGGGUAUUAUUUUCCUAGAUGACCCCCUUUAAAUUUCUCUACUUUUUUUAAUGGCCUUCCUUCACUGUAUCUAGGAAAAAGAAGACCAGCUGCUUGCUACUUACGAUUCCCAACAAAGCUAAACCACAGAUGAUAAGAAAAAAGAAUUUCACAAUGGAUUAUUUUUCCAGAUCACCCCCUUCUAGCAUUCUAUAUUUUUUAUGGUUUGCCUUCAAUAUAUCUAGGAAAAAAAGAAGAGCCUGAAUAUAGUUUGCUGCUUGCUAUUUAUCCCAAACAAGGUAACCUGAAAUGAUUAAUAAGAAUCUCCCUUGCCACUGGUAUGUCAGGUAUCAUCUCUUUUGUUCCUUUAUGCAAAUUUCUCCUUUUAAUUUUAACACUUGUGCUUUUCUGUAUUACAGUAGACUACAGGCUAAGGGAAAUGACAUACGUGAGAGUUCCCUCCACAGGGUAAGGGAAAUGACAUAGACUACAGGCUUCAAAAAUAGAUACGAAGUACUUAUUUUUCUCUGCCAGCCUCUUUGCUGUCUCGGGAUUUCAUGCUUACGAGAUUUCAGGGUCCAUUUCUGUAUUACAGUAGAGGUGCAGGUAAUGUCUUCUAGCAUUCCAUAUUUAUUCUUCUGGUGGAAUUUUUACCCUGCUGGUUCCUCCAAAUAGCGCAUGCAUAUAUAUGGUUUCUACAGUAGAAAAGAUGAAGUUGUUGUCCUUUCGAUCAUCUUUUGUAUUUUCCAGUCAUUAUGUGCAUAUUAAAAGUUUAUCUUCAUUUUGUUUUUCUGAAAUAUCAUGUACCAAAUUACAUAAGUGAUCUAUUGGUUUGACAAACUCCUUGCACUCACAAGUUAAACUCGCGGAUUUAUGAUGUUACCCAUUAAAGGAUAUACUCCAGGGAAACAAUCCGUGAACUCCAGGCAAGUAUCUGAGUAACAUCAUGGGUCUACAAUUUGUGGUAUGAACAGAAACCAUGGACUCAAGUAUUCAUGAAAAGAUAGGGUGCUUUCAUAUUCUGGUUUAGUAUAGUCUUUGAUUAUUAGUUUCAUAACUACUACCUCCGUUCCUAAAUUCUUGUUGUGAUUUUAGUUCAAAUUUGUACUAAAACCACGACAAGAAUUUAGGACCGGAGGGAGUAGCUGUAGGCUCUCUUUUUAAUCGGUAAUCUAGACACUAUUUAGUUGGAUAACUUACUGCCGAAUAAUAGUAUUACCCAAUCUAUUAAUAUUUGUUGCGCACAGAUGUCUUCAAACAAACUACCAAGUAUGCAUGUAAUGACGUAAUUGCUGCCGUGUUCUUUCUCGCAGUGUAUCCUUUUGUUCUGGUCAUGGAUUCUCUAUUGGAUGUUAGAAAGCAUAUAAGUAAACCAAUUGGUUGUUGUUGACAAAAUCAGUGCUUGCAUAUAUUACCUCAGAGGUACAUAUAUAUGUAUGUAAACCAUGAUGUUACUCCGAUUUACAAUUUCAGUCAGUUCCAUGCACAGAGCGCUUAAGCUGCAACAGAUUCCCUUCCAUUCAAAUUUAUGUGGAUGAUUUCUUUGGCUCGUGCUUCAAAUAAGCAUUCUGACUAAAGAUAAUUUGAAGAGAAGGGGCUGAGAAGGAGAGUAGCAAUUUGCUUUUUUGCUCCAAAGAGGAUCAAGAGCAAUUGUUUUUCUCAUGCUCUUUGGCCGGAUAUAUUUGGAUGGUUAUUAAAUGCACUUUUAGUUUUACUCAGAGUCCAGCUAAUUUUAAAUAACUCCUGGAAACAUGGAUCUUACCUUCCGUCGGGAAGGAUAGAAAUCUUGUUGUUUUAGGGAUUGCAGCAGUCAUUCGGGUCUUACGGAAGAUUUGAAAUAAAGCUUGCUUUGAGAAUUUGCCUUAUGACCCAACUGUUAUACAAUGUUUGAUGUGUGUUCUAUGAUGGAUCAGUGGUCGGGUCUUUAGAGAGGUGAAAGCAUGGAGGCGCUCCUCCCAAGACUCGCGCAAGCUGUGGCGAGCAACGACCGAAGUGUUUAACAGGUCUCAAGGUUGGGCUCGACUUAUAAGCUGGAGCAUUAAGCAGCUCUGGAGAGUUGGAUAUCUGGGUGUUUUUUCUAUUCUUUAUGCUAGCUGGACAGAAUCCUUACAUGUAAAUUUUGUGGUUUCUUUACAUGAAAUCGGGGAGUGUCCCUCUUAAGAAAAAGGAAACAGAUAAUUUAAAGGAAGGUCAUGUCAAAUUUGGGAUAUUACUCCAUUCUUUUGAUAACGGGCAGUGUUGCCGAUUUCCUUUGGUAAGGAUCUGAACGCAACUUCUCAUUUUUGUUAAUGUUUUGAAUUGA